GGCCAGACUCCUACGGGAGGCAGCAGUGGGGAAUAUUGCACAAUGGGGGAAACCCUGAUGCAGCGACGCCGCGUGAGUGAAGAAGUAUUUCGGUAUGUAAAGCUCUAUCAGCAGGGAAGAAAAUGACGGUACCUGACUAAGAAGCCCCGGCUAACUACGUGCCAGCAGCCGCGGUAAUACGUAGGGGGCAAGCGUUAUCCGGAUUUACUGGGUGUAAAGGGAGCGUAGACGGCAUGGCAAGUCAGAUGUGAAAGCCCGGGGCUCAACCCCGGGACUGCAUUUGAAACCGUCAGGCUGGAGUGCAGGAGAGGUAAGUGGAAUUCCUAGUGUAGCGGUGAAAUGCGUAGAUAUUAGGAGGAACACCAGUGGCGAAGGCGGCUUACUGGACUGUAACUGACGUUGAGGCUCGAAAGCGUGGGGAGCAAACAGGAUUAGAUACCCGAGUA
rnacentral:rRNA from 1 species